CUUCCAGCCUCCGGCCUCCCGGCCUCCCGGCCUCCAUCACCACCCAGCAGUCCGGGCGCCCGCGUCCGCUCACUCUCAGCACCCAGGCUUGACGCUCCCCCAUCCCGCGGUUCUCGGGGGCCGGACCCCCCACACCCUGGCUCUCGAGGGGCCGCGCGCCCCACCUCCCCACCUCCACUUACCCCUCGGGUUCCGUGGCGCGGAUUGCGGGCCCCCAGGGCCGCGGCCUCGGCGCUGCGCCAGCCUCGCUCUUCCCCCGCGGAGCCGCCGCCGGGUCCCCGAUCUAGGGUCGUGCCCCACGAGUUUUAAAACUGGGUCUCCGGCCCCGCCCAGUGAAGGGCAGGGCCCGCCCACAGGCCCGGGAGUCCCCGCGUCGCGCUAGAGCGGGUCCAGUCCCUGAAUGGGCGGGGCUGACAUUGAGGCCCCCACUCCUGAGCCUCCCUCGGACGAGGGGGGCCCGACGGGCGGGGCGUCUUUGGUUUGAGGGAGAAGCGGCCUGGGACAGAGGACACCUGAAGGAGGAGGGCGCUGGGGGCCUGGCCUUCUGGGUCUCUGUCCGAGGGGGUUCUGGAGGCUUCCAUUUCUGGGGCCUGGGCUGGGAGGGGACAGUAUUACUGAGUCCUGGGGUAAGAGGAGGCUGGGGUUCGGGACUUCCUGGUCCCGAGGGAGGCAAGAGUGACCUGGGUGAACUCAAAUUUCUCCCUCUUCCCCACAUCACUUUGUUUUCCAGAGGUCAGUUCUCGUCUAUUCGUUCAUCCUUAAGAAUAGUUCAUUACUGCGAGGGAGGUACUUUGCUGGGUGCCUCCGGAUGGCUGUGAACCAAGAACAGGAAUUCCCAGCCCUCAGGCCAACUGCCAUCCCUGGGGUGGCUGGUUCUCAGUUCCCAUCUUGGGGACUAUGUUAAUCAUUUCUCCCCCGGCUUUCGAGACUUCUGCUCUCCUGGUUCUCCUCCCUCACAUGCUGUUCCUUCCCAGUUUCCCUGGCUGUUUCCACCCCUUCACCCCCAUUCUUGGGGGCCAGGGGCACUCCUCUGCCUGUACUCACUUCCUUGGUGAUCUCAUCCAGUCUCGUGGCCUUAAAUGCCAUCCAUAAGGCAUCAACCCGAAAAUUUACAUCCUCCAGCCCAGGAUUCACAGAUGCAGCCGUGGUCAUUCAGUUCUACAGGGAGAUCUGUCGGCAUUUCCAGUUCAGUGUCCCCAGACCUUGGCACUUUCCCCCUAAACCUCCUCCCCUCUCCCCUCCUUCUCCAUCUUUUCAGUUGCUCAGUCCAGAAGCUUUGGUCAUCCCGAAUCCCUCUCUUUCAAACACACCCCAUACCUACAAGAUCAGUAAGUUUUGUUGGUUCCACCUCCAAAAGCUCUCCAGAACCUCCUCAGUGCCCACAGCCUGGUCCAUCUGUCACCUUCCACCUGGACAAUCAUAGCAGCCUCCCUGGUCUCUGACCCUACCCCUAGUUCAUCCCCAAAGGCAGUCACAGGGACCCACCACUUCUCCCCCUCCCACACCUUCACACAGGAAGCAGGUGGCCUUGCCACCAGCAGAGUGACAUCCGCUAUUGCUGCUUCUUUACUCCCCAACUGUUCCUCAGGACUUCUCUGGACCAAAGCCUCUUGCCAGACCCCUUCUAGCCUCAGCCUAGCAUGGCCCCUUCCGGUGACAUCCUGCUCCUGCUCCCAGUGAUUGCAGCUCUGGUGACCCCAGGUGAGAAAUGAGCACGCCUUGCCCUCUGCCAUGGCACUUCAGAACAUGACAAAAUCUACAUCAACAUGCCUGGCAGGGGCUGACCCCCGUGUAAGUGAGACCUUGGACUUCUGACCCUCUGCUUCCUGUGUUGUGUGUGGCAGCACAGAAACACAUUCCCCACUUUGGGGUGAAAUAAA